GACGUAGGUGGCGAACGUUAUCCGGAAUUAUUGGGCGGAAAGGAUGCGUAGAUGGUGUAGUAAGUUAUCGGUGGCAAAUCGAGGCUCAACCUCGUGGAAGUCGGUAAUACUGCUAUGCUAGAGGAUAGGAGAGGUUAACGGAACUCCCUGUGGAGCGGUGAAAUGCGUAGAUAUAGGGAAGAACACCAAUAAGGCGAAGGCAGUUAACUAUUCUACUCCUGACAUUGAGGCAUGAAAGCGUGGGGAGCAAAACGG
rnacentral:rRNA from 1 species